rnacentral:rRNA from 1 species
UACGGAGGGGGCUAGCGUUGUUCGGAAUUACUGGGCGUAAAGCGCACGUAGGCGGACUGUUAAGUCGGGGGUGAAAUCCUGGGGCUCAACCUCAGAAUUGCCUCCGAUACUGGCAGUCUCGAGUGCGGGAGAGGUGAGUGGAAUUCCCAGUGUAGAGGUGAAAUUCGUAGAUAUUGGGAAGAACACCAGUGGCGAAGGCGGCUCACUGGCCCGCAACUGACGCUGAGGUGCGAAAGCGUGGGGAGCAAACAGG